ACAGCUCAAAUUUGAAAUCUGGCUCUUUUAGAGUCCNAGUUGUAAUUUGCAGAGGGCGCUUUGGCUUUGGCAGCGGNCCAAGUUCCUUGGAACAGGACGUCACAGAGGGUGAGAAUCCCGUACGUGGUCGCUGGCUAUUGCCNUGUAAAGCCCCUUCGACGAGUCGAGUUGUUUGGGAAUGCAGCUCUAAAUGGGAGGUACAUUUCUUCUAAAGCUAAAUAUUGGCCAGAGACCGAUAGCGCACAAGUAGAGUGAUCGAAAGAUGAAAAGCACUUUGGAAAGAGAGUCAAACAGCACGUGAAAUUGUUGAAAGGGAAGCGCUUGCAGCCAGACUUGCUUGCAGUUGCUCAUCCGGGCUUUUGCCCGGUGCACUCUUCUGCAGGCAGGCCAGCAUCAGUUUGGGCGGUAAGAUAAAGGUCUCUGUCACGUACCUCUCUUCGGGGAGGCCUUAUAGGGGAGACGACAUAUUACCAGCCUGGACUGAGGUCCGCGCAUCUGCUAGGAUGCUGGCGUAAUGGCUGUAAGCGGCCCGUCUUGAAACACGGACCAAGGAGUCUAACAUCUAUGCGAGUGUUUGGGUGUCAAGCCCGAGCGCGUAAUGAAAGUGAACGGAGGUAGGAACCCGCAAGGGUGCACUAUCGACCGAUCCUGAUGUCUUCGGAAGGAUUUGAGUAAGAGCAUGGCUGUUGGGACCCGAAAGAUGGUGAACUAUGCUUGAAUAGGGUGAAGCCAGAGGAAACUCUGGUGGAGGCUCGCAGCGGUUCUGACGUGCAAAUCGAUCGUCAAAUUUGGGCAUAGGGGCGAAAGACUAAUCGAACUAUCUAGUAGCUGGUUCCUGCCGAA
rnacentral:rRNA from 1 species